UCUGCCUCAAGGCUCUUGCCUCUUCUGACCAGAGAACUAUGACCUGGCAGUAGAGAAAGCUGAAAACCAACUCGAGUCAGAACAAGAGCUCCCCGCAAAUGCUAAGGCAUUGAUGUAACCAGUCACCUCUGGAACUGGGAGGCAAGUGCAGCUGAAAAGAAUCCCCUCACCUGCUCCAUGGGGAAGAAGCUGCAGGCAGCUGGGGCAGAAGCAGGGAGAUGGCUCAGAGGGCUGCUGCUCUGAUGGAGUUAGAGAAGACUGGCUGGGAGCAGGGCACCAGAGAGGUAAGAUUUCCAAGUGAAAGCAACCUGUUCAAACACCUGAGAAGGAAGAUAAGAACCUCAUCUGAGAUUUGGAAUUUGGAAUUGCUUGCUCUUUAAAAGUAAUUAAAUUUGCCUGCAGAAUCAUCUCUUUUGCCUUGGUAAUUCUCCAGGCUGCUGAAAUACCACAUUUGCAAAAGUACACCCACGAUAUAACCUAUCUAGUUUUUUCUCUUCGUUUAGGCUCACCCACACAGGCAUCUUGUGGAAGCAGAUAGCAAAAACCAAAGGGACUCAUGGGGACAUCAG